rnacentral:rRNA from 1 species
UGGGGAAUAUUGGACAAUGGGCGAAAGCCUGAUCCAGCCAUGCCGCGUGUGUGAAGAAGGUCUUCGGAUUGUAAAGCACUUUAAGUUGGGAGGAAGGGCAUUAACCUAAUACGUUAGUGUUUUGACGUUACCGACAGAAUAAGCACCGGCUAACUCUGUGCCAGCAGCCGCGGUAAUACAGAGGGUGCAAGCGUUAAUCGGAAUUACUGGGCGUAAAGCGCGCGUAGGUGGUUUGUUAAGUUGGAUGUGAAAUCCCCGGGCUCAACCUGGGAACUGCAUUCAAAACUGACUGACUAGAGUAUGGUAGAGGGUGGUGGAAUUUCCUGUGUAGCGGUGAAAUGCGUAGAUAUAGAACAGAACACCAGUGGCGAAGGCGACCACCUGGACUAAUACGAAAAAGGAGGUGCGAAAGAGUGGGGAGCAAAAA